GACGAACCGUGCGAACGUUGUUCGGAAUCACUGGGCUUAAAGGGCGCGUAGGCGGACUGCCAAGUCCGGGGUGAAAUCUUUCGGCUUAACCGGAAAAUAGCCUUGGAUACUGGCGGUCUCGAGGGAGGUAGGGGCAGCUGGAACUUCCGGUGGAGCGGUGAAAUGCGUUGAUAUCGGAAGGAACGCCGGUGGCGAAAGCGAGCUGCUGGACCUCUUCUGACGCUGAGGCGCGAAAGCCAGGGGAGCAAACGGG
rnacentral:rRNA from 1 species